AGUGAACGCUGGCGGUAGGCCUAACACAUGCAAGUCGAACGGCAGCACAGUAAGAGCUUGCUCUUACGGGUGGCGAGUGGCGGACGGGUGAGGAAUACAUCGGAAUCUACUUUUUCGUGGGGGAUAACGUAGGGAAACUUACGCUAAUACCGCAUACGACCUACGGGUGAAAGCAGGGGAUCUUCGGACCUUGCGCGAUUGAAUGAGCCGAUGUCGGAUUAGCUAGUUGGCGGGGUAAAGGCCCACCAAGGCGACGAUCCGUAGCUGGUCUGAGAGGAUGAUCAGCCACACUGGAACUGAGACACGGUCCAGACUCCUACGGGAGGCAGCAGUGGGGAAUAUUGGACAAUGGGCGCAAGCCUGAUCCAGCCAUACCGCGUAGGUGAAGAAGGCCUUCGGGUUGUAAAGCCCUUUUGUUGGGAAAGAAGAGCAGCAGGUUAAUACCCCGCUGUUCUGACGGUACCCAAAGAAUAAGCACCGGCUAACUUCGUG
rnacentral:rRNA from 1 species